GAUGGGGAAGAGAUGGCAUUGGUGAUUCAAGACUCUUUGCUAUCCUCUUCAAUGCCUCUUUCAGUGUAGGAAGUUAAAAUCAGUUAUGUAAUGGAAUUGAAUGAAGCAAGUGUCAGAUCUACAUCUCUACAAACACUCACUUUAUCAGUUCAGAGAAUAAAGAGAUGAAUUUAAUAAUGCCACUGGACACUUAUACUCUAUCGGAUCCUAAUAAUUUCUCACACUAAUGAAUUCUUCUAUCAACUUCAUGUUAAUCAAGAGGAGACAGAGCCAAGAAGUGAGUAAUUGCUUACUGAAUUGUGAAAGCUGGGAUGAUUUAACUACAGCCUCCCUAGAAUGUGACAGUCCACAGAAAUAUCUGAUUUCAAAGAGAUGCUUGCAUUCUGUACUGAUGCCAUCUAGAAUUGUAAAUGACCAGUGUCACACUGCUAAGUGGAGAAAGCGUGAAAGAAGAAUCCCAUCAGUACAUUCACGAUAGAGGAAAUAAGAAACAAUGAAAGCCACAACUUCCAGGGUUCCAUUGAUCUUGUGGCGUGGGAGGACUGUUUCGGUGUAAGUCUAUUACCAGGAGCUAUAUGACAACAUUAAUUAAGUUGUGUUUUGGGAAAAUGAAAGCAAGCAAGAUGCACAUUUGCCUUUCUGCCAAUAAACACUUAAGUACAGCAAUGUGCAGGAAUUCCUGGCACAUUAAUCAACUUGAUCUUUUUCCUUCUUCUUUUGUUGUAUCUUUCCUUUCUUUUUGACUUUCUUCCUUCCUUUCUUCUUUAAUUUUUAGUGAUAGUUUGUACU
ensembl:lncRNA LINC02822 long intergenic non-protein coding RNA 2822